rnacentral:rRNA from 1 species
CGAACGGGUGAGUAACGCGUGAGGAACCUGCCUCAAAGAGGGGGACAACAGUUGGAAACGACUGCUAAUACCGCAUAAGCCCACGGCUCGGCAUCGAGCAGAGGGAAAAGGAGCAAUCCGCUUUGAGAUGGCCUCGCGUCCGAUUAGCUAGUUGGUGAGGUAACGGCCCACCAAGGCGACGAUCGGUAGCCGGACUGGGAGGUUGAACGCCACAUUGGGACUGAGACACGGCCCAG